GCGUGGGUGAUGAAGGCCUUCGGGUUGUAAAGCCCUUUUGGCGGGGACGAUGAUGACGGUACCCGCAGAAUAAGCCCCGGCUAACUUCGUGCCAGCAGCCGCGGUAAGACGAAGGGGGCUAGCGUUGUUCGGAAUUACUGGGCGUAAAGGGCGCGCAGGCGGUCUUGCAAGUCGGGCGUUAAAGACCUGGGCUUAACCCGGGGAAUGCGCUCGAUACUGCAAGGCUUGAGAUCGAGAGAGGAGAGUGGAAUUCCCAGUGUAGAGGUGAAAUUCGU
rnacentral:rRNA from 1 species